CUUUCAGUACGUGAGGAAGGUAGUGGAGUUAAUAGCUGUAUUAUUGGGCGAUAGCUACAGAAGAAGCACUCGGACUAACUCCGUGUCAGCAGCCGCGCGUAAUACGGAGGGUGCGAGCGUUAAUCGGAAUUACUGGGCGUAAAGCGCAUGCAGGUGGUUUGUUAAGUCAGAUGUGAAAGCCCGGGGCUCAACCUCGGAAUAGCAUUUGAAACUGGCAGACUAGAGUACUGUAGAGGGGGGUAGAAUUUCAGGUGUAGCGGUGAAAUGCGUAGAGAUCUGAAGGAAUACCGGUGGCGAAGGCGGCCCCCUGGACAGAUACUGACACUCAGAUGCGAAAGCGUGGGGAGCAAACAGGAUUAGAUACCCUGGUAGUCCACGCCGUAAACGAUGUCUACUUGGAGGUUGUGGCCUUGAGCCGUGGCUUUCGGAGCUAACGCGUUAAGUAGACCGCCUGGGGAGUACGGUCGCAAGAUUAAAACUCAAAUGAAUUGACGGGGGCCCGCACAAGCGGUGGAGCAUGUGGUUUAAUUCGAUGCAACG
rnacentral:rRNA from 1 species